UUUCAAUCAUACUCAUUUUGGUCAGCUUCUGAGAAGGUGCCAUUGACUGUUAACCCUACAUAAUAUGGGGACGUGGAUUCAAACACAGCCAACACCCUUGAGUAAGGUUGGAGCUAGACUCAUUUAACAGGGUGUACGUGGCAUCCAGAGUUUUUAGGUAUGGUUGGAUUGGAGACUCAGGAGCAACUAAUGACACAUUAUAGGUUCCUUUUGCCUUUUCUUUUUCUUGGGGGCUGGAGACCCCAUAAAUGUUGCCUACCAGUUUAGGCGGUACUAUUACCGGGCUACGCUGGAUGAGGAGGUCAGUCAUAGGGUCCUUUCUACCCACAUAGAGUGCCAUCAUCCAGGAUUUUCCUUUUUCCCAAUCUUUAUAUGGAUUUUGCCAUUGUUUUAAGGUUAGCUUGAUGGGAUUACAUUUUCCUUUGGAACAUGAACCACUUGGUGUUUGUCAUUCCAAGGCCAAAUACGCAUCGCAUCAUCAUUUUUCCAUGGGGCAAUAGAUUUGCAACCCCAAUGAUGACAGUGGUUUCCUGGUGUCCCAUUGCACCUUUUAUUUUUCCCUAUGGGGCAGGCAUAAAUAUCUAUAUCUUGGAGGUUUUUUUCCAAUUUAUCAUCUAUUCCACACCUCCAUCCACAGCCCCCUUUACCCAUCUUUUCAGAUGAAACUUUACCCUUUGAUCCAGCCCCUCCACCACUAAUGAUUGGAAGCCCUAGAGAACACAGGUCUAUAAUAAAAUGGGGCUGUCUAUCAGUAGUAAUGGUGGCAAUGUGAGCUCCCGUUAAGGCAUUUUUCAAGGACCAAGUCCAGUUCUGGGGAGUGUGGCUGGACAACACCAGCUGGCAUCCAGAUCCCCCUUCCAUUGGGCCUGGUAAGAACAGUAGCCCCAAGAACCCCCAUGUUGUCCAAACUAGUCUUUGAUCAAUCUUAUCUUGAGGGGGUCCUUUGUGUUCCGAUCGAUCCGCCAUGUUGACGUCUCUUCCUCCAGGGGUGCUGCCUUUAAAUGGCUGUGGUGGAUCCAGGCAGAGUGUCCAGCUACCUUCACUGCUGAGGGAGUCACCAGGAUGACAGGAAAUGGUCCCUCCCAGAGGGGUUCAAGGGUCUUGGAGUCAAACCUGUGAAUGAAAACCAAAUCCCCCGGCUUAUAGGAGGGAGAAAACUGGGACAGAGGAACAUUCAUACAGGAGGA
rnacentral:lncRNA from 1 species